rnacentral:lncRNA from 1 species
ACCUCAAUGGAGGAUUCUUUGAAAACUAACUCUUAAGAUCUCUGAAGACAGAGACAACUUUAUUUUUUUUGCCAGUUUGGACCAAAUAUAAAGUAUGGCUAAAAAUGAGUAUAAAAUAAUUAUACUCAAAACAGUGUAAUUGUUGAAUGAACAGAGUGGACUUUAAUGAGAAAUACUGAAUUCUCCCUUCAGACGCCAUUUCUUUUUCCAGCCUGACCUCUUCAUCACUCUGCUACCUUGAGCUGACCAGUCUCUUUGUUUUUCCUAGGUCAGGAAAUAGUGAGAUAAUUAUAGUCCGUUCCACUUUGUUGUGAGAGUUAAAUGGGUAAACAUGCAAAGCAGUGAACUUUUUCAGAAUGUGUUCUCUAUAAAUGUCACUUCCUCUAUUUCCCAUCUAUAUGCAGUUAUUCUGUUGAGAAACCUCCAUUCUGCCUGGGUGAAAACUUCAUGCUACCUCACUGCAUAUUCUCCUUGGACAUACAGAUUGUCAUUUCUCCCCCCUUUUAAUCAGUAUUCUAUGAAAGACUAUUGAUGAGUCAUUUUAAUAUUGGCGAGAUUGUUAUCAUGCUUUUCUUCACGGAUUUGUUGCUGCUGCUGAUAUUUGAAAUGGUUUAGGGAAAUAGUUGACCUACUGGUACCAAGAGACUGCCAUUUUCCUGCUUGUGAGGCCAGAGCUGUGUACUGUGUUUGUGCUGACUCAUCCUGACAUCCUAUUACUGUGUGGCUGUGUACAUUCUUCCACACACAGUUCAGUGAAUUCAUCACACGUGACUGCCGAUGUAAAUCCUGUUUUUAAAGUGUCUCUAACUUGUCUUCUAAAAGGGAAGCACUAGAAUAAUGAGGUUAAAGGUGUGACUCUUGCUUUUAAUACUAAAAUACAACCAUUACCGGGUAUCUAUUUUUACAUGAGAUUUCAUUUUCGUGCAUGGGGUGUUUUGUGUAUUAGCUACCAGCAGUGGAAGAAUUUACAUGUCCAGAAAGCCUUUGAAGUUAAUUCUCUGUUUAGAAACAGCUGAGAGGUUGCCUAUGGUACAAUGCACUUCUUGAAUCUGCAGUCAGGCAAAUGUGCUUCUUUCGGUCAGCCUGCACUCGAUUCUAUAGAUGAAAACAAAACAAAAACAACAUCAUCAACAACAAAAACUAGUUAAAGACAGAUCACACUCAUUCCAUGAAGCCAAGUGUCCUGAGGCAGCAUGCCAUGGUGGUGAGGAACUGAAUUGUGUUUCGCAAGUCUGUGGUUCUAUUUGGUUUGCUUUCCUAAGUGAAUUCAGUGCCUCGCAGCUCAUCCUCUUCACAAUGUGACAGGGAGCUGACAUUAGGAGGCUAACAUCAGAAUACAAAUGAGGCGCUGAAAGUUGUGAUUUUAACAAAUAAACUCAUGACAAAACCCAAUAAUAUUCCCUAUUCCAACUAAAGUAAUGUCUGCUUUCUUAGUUACCGAGGUGUUCAUACUAGGAAGCAAGAGCUGCUUGCCACAAAUGGCACUUUCCCUGGUUCUGUGUUUUGAACAGCAAAGGAUAGACUGUUUUUGUUUUUCCUUUCUCAUUUACCAUUUAUCUAUCUAUUCGGAAUAUUCUUCUUACUAAUAAAUAUCUCCUUUAUUGAUUUCUCUACCUUGGUUUCCUUGGAAAAUUGAUACUUCCUACCUUUUAUUCAGAUCAAAUUCCAGAGCAUGCAGUGGGUCUCUGAGUUUUGUAAUUAUUAGAGAGAUUAUUAUAAUGUAUUUUAUAUACGAAACAAAUACUUCCUCAUUUUUCUCUGAAAGGGGGCACAAUGUGACCUUACAGUUUAAAGUUGGUGUUCCUUAUUGAACUCCUGGAAACCACAGCGAUAUCAGAGCCACUGAGUUAAAAAACAACAACAGCCACAACAACAACAAACCACCCACAACAUGUGUAAACUUCCCAGCCAUGACUUCUGAGUCUCAUUCAAGUUGAUGCUGUGUAUUUUCAUGGAGGUACUUGAGUAAUUUGAUUACUAAGACGAGACUCGAUGAGGGAUAGCCAAAAGACAUGAAGACAAAGAGCAAAGACCAGGGAGACACUCAUGAGUCUAGAAGACUAAC